GACGAACGCUGGCGGCGUGCUUAACACAUGCAAGUCGAACGGAAAGGCCCUGCUUUUGUGGGGUGCUCGAGUGGCGAACGGGUGAGUAACACGUGAGUAACCUGCCCUUGACUUUGGGAUAACUUCAGGAAACUGGGGCUAAUACCGGAUAGGAGCUCCUGCUGCAUGGUGGGGGUUGGAAAGUUUCGGCGGUUGGGGAUGGACUCGCGGCUUAUCAGCUUGUUGGUGGGGUAGUGGCUUACCAAGGCUUUGACGGGUAGCCGGCCUGAGAGGGUGACCGGCCACAUUGGGACUGAGAUACGGCCCAGACUCCUACGGGAGGCAGCAGUGGGGAAUAUUGCACAAUGGGCGGAAGCCUGAUGCAGCAACGCCGCGUGCGGGGUGACGGCCUUCGGGUUGUAAACCGCUUUCGCCUGUGACGAAGCGUGAGUGACGGUAAUGGGUAAAGAAGCACCGGCUAACUACGUGCCAGCAGCCGCGGUGAUACGUAGGGUGCGAGCGUUGUCCGGAUUUAUUGGGCGUAAAGGGCUCGUAGGUGGUUGAUCGCGUCGGAAGUGUAAUCUUGGGGCUUAACCCUGAGCGUGCUUUCGAUACGGGUUGACUUGAGGAAGGUAGGGGAGAAUGGAAUUCCUGGUGGAGCGGUGGAAUGCGCAGAUAUCAGGAGGAACACCAGUGGCGAAGGCGGUUCUCUGGGCCUUUCCUGACGCUGAGGAGCGAAAGCGUGGGGAGCGAACAGGCUUAGAUACCCUGGUAGUCCACGCUGUAAACGGUGGGUACUAGGUGUGGGGUCCAUUCCACGGGUUCCGUGCCGUAGCUAACGCUUUAAGUACCCCGCCUGGGGGGUACGGCCGCAAGGCUAAAACUCAAAGGAAUUGACGGGGCCCCGCACAAGCGGCGGAGCAUGCGGAUUAAUUCGAUGCAACGCGUAGAACCUUACCUGGGUUUGACAUGGAUCGGGAGUGCUCAGAGAUGGGUGUGCCUCUUUUGGGGUCGGUUCACAGGUGGUGCAUGGCUGUCGUCAGCUCGUGUCGUGAGAUGUUGGGUUAAGUCCCGCAACGAGCGCAACCCUUGUUCACUGUUGCCAGCACGUUAUGGUGGGGACUCAGUGGAGACCGCCGGGGUCAACUCGGAGGAAGGUGGGGAUGACGUCAAGUCAUCAUGCCCCUUAUGUCCAGGGCUUCACGCAUGCUACAAUGGCUGGUACAGAGAGUGGCGAGCCUGUGAGGGUGAGCGAAUCUCGGAAAGCCGGUCUCAGUUCGGAUUGGGGUCUGCAACUCGACCUCAUGAAGUCGGAGUCGCUAGUAAUCGCAGAUCAGCAACGCUGCGGUGAAUACGUUCCCGGG
rnacentral:rRNA from 1 species